UGAAGCCUACGGGAGGCAGCAGUGGGGAAUAUUGCACAAUGGGGGAAACCCUGAUGCAGCAACGCCGCGUGAGUGAAGAAGUAUUUCGGUAUGUAAAGCUCUAUCAGCAGGGAAGAGAAUGACGGUACCUGACUAAGAAGCCCCGGCUAACUACGCGCCAGCAGCCGCGGUAAUACGUAGGGGGCAAGCGUUAUCCGGAUUUACUGGGUGUAAAGGGGGCGCAGAUGGCGAUGCAAGCCAGGAGUGAAAGCCCGGGGCCCAACCCCGGGACUGCUCUUGGAACUGCGUGGCUGGAGUGCAGGAGG
rnacentral:rRNA from 1 species